rnacentral:rRNA from 1 species
UACGGAGGGUGCAAACGUUGCUCGGAAUCAUUGGGCGUAAAGCGCACGUAGGCGGCCUGAUAAGUCGGGUGUGAAAGCCCUGGGCUCAACCCAGGAAGUGCACUCGAAACUGUCAGGCUUGAAUAUGGAAGAGGGUCGCGGAAUUCCCGGUGUAGAGGUGAAAUUCGUAGAUACCGGGAGGAACACCAGUGGCGAAGGCGGCGACCUGGGCCAAUAUUGACGCUGAGGUGCGAAAGCGUGGGGAGCAAACAGG